rnacentral:lncRNA from 1 species
GCUAUCCUGGUAGUCCCAGAAUUCACUGUGUCUAGGACAAGUCCCUUCAGCAACACAUCAUCUAAACUUGGAACCCAUGGGCUCUGCAGGAGUACGAGUGGAUAAUUACACCAGAGACCAUAGCCAGCUGCUUCCUGUUAUAGGGCACGUGGUUGUGUGUGACAUACAGACUGAUACUGGGCCUGGGGUCCCCUGUAUGGAGGAUUUCACACUGCUUUCUCCAAUCUCUCUCCCAUGAUCUCCCAACUCAAGUGUCCUCUCCACUGGUUUGCAGGUGGGAAAGAUGUGGGUAAGGUAGUUAAAUAUCAGAAUUAUGCUAGGAUCUAUAGGAGGCUGAGGACCUGCAAAAAAGAGUCGUGUGUUUCUCUGCCUCAACCUGCCAUGCUCUCCUAGCCUUUGCAUUUCUUGCCCUUGGUCUGUAAUAUCAGGGACAUGCUGACAUCUUGGCCCUUUGUUCCUAGGGAGCAGGGCUGGGAAGUCGGAGAGGAUGGAGAUAGAGCAGGGUAUGAGCAAGGGCAGAUGGUUGGGCUAUGCUGCAAAUGAACACUAUUG